rnacentral:tRNA from 1 species
GGCCGGCUGGCGCAAUGGUAGCGCUUCAGACUUCUAAUCUGGAGGUUGUGGGUUCGAGCCCCACGUUGGUCA